rnacentral:ncRNA from 1 species
GGGUUGGAAGGAGAGAAGGUAAGCUUUCCAGCAUUCCCUUUGCUAAGGACAGAAGGGGCCCUCGAGUCUGAAACACAUCAGAUUAAAGCAUUUCAGCCAACCUUGUGAUAUCUAACCAGUACUUGUU